rnacentral:lncRNA from 1 species
AAUGCAGGUGUACCCUGUUGACUACUAAUGUUAUUGUCUUCACUUUCUGUAAUCAUUUUAGGACCUGCUCAGUGCUGUAGAAGCAAAACAAGCUCUUGAAAGGGAAGUUAAGAUCUUCCAAGAAAGGCUGCUUGCUGGCCAGCGGGUCUGGGAUGCCUCAAAGCAGGAGCUGAGCCUCCUGAAGCAAAGCUCUUCCGAGUUGGAGAAGAGUUUGAAGGCAAGUCGGGAUGCAGUCACAGCCUCACAAAGCCAGUACUCCUCAUUUACGGAGAAAAUUGCAGCCCUCCUUAGGGGCAGAUUGGGCACGACUGGGUCUACUGAGGACACCAUUUUGGAGAAGAUUCGAGAAAUGGGCAGCCAGGAAGAAAGCAGGGACCAGAUGGUCUCCCAGCUUGAAGCCCAAAUAUCUGAGCUUGUUGAACAGUUGGGAAAGGAGUCUGAGUUUCACCAGAAAGCUCUCCAGAGGGCCCAGAAAGCAGAGAAUAUGUUGGAGACUCUUCAGGGUCAGCUGACACACCUGGAGGCAGAGCUGGUUUCUGGAGAUGUUUUGCGAGACAACUUGAAUUUUGAGAAACAAAAAUAUCUUAAAUUUCUGGAUCAGCUUUCACAGAAAAUGAAGUUGGACCAGAUGGCUGCCGAACUUGGUUUUGACAUGCGGCUGGAUGUGGUUUUAGCUCGAACAGAGCAGCUGGUUCGUCUUGAGAGCAAUGCAGUCAUUGAGAAUAAGACCAUUGCCCACAAUUUGCAGAGAAAGCUAAAGACACAGAAAGAGAGACUGGAGAGCAAAGAACUACACAUGAGCUUCCUCCGGCAGAAAAUAGCCCAGCUGGAGGAGGAGAAGCAGGCACGCACGGCCUUGGUGGUUGAGAGGGACAACAUGCAUCUUACCAUCAGGAACCUGCAGAAGAAGGUGGAGAGGCUGCAGAAGGAGCUGAACACAUGUCGAGACUUGAACAUUGAGCUCAAAGCCAAACUGGCUGACACCAAUGAACUGAAGAUUAAAACUUUGGAACAAACUAAAGCCAUUGAAGAUCUAAACAAAUCCAGAGACCAGCUGGAGAAGAUGAAGGAGAAAGCUGAGAAAAAGCUCAUGUCUGUCAAGUCAGAACUGGAUACCACAGAACAUGAGGCUAAGGAGAAUAAAGAAAGGGCCAGAAACAUAAUAGAAGUGGUAACCAGUGAAAUGAAGACACUAAAAAAAUCUUUGGAAGAAGCAGAAAAGAGAGAAAAGCAGCUGGCAGACUUCAGGGAGGUGGUGUCCCAGAUGCUAGGCUUGAACCUGACCAGCCUUGCUCUUCCUGAUUACGAAAUCGUCAAGUGUCUUGAAAGACUGAUCCAUUCACAUCAGCAUCACUUUGUUACCUGUGCCUGCCUCAAAGAUGUGACUACCGGGCAAGAUAGGCACCCACAAGGCCAUUUACCACUUCUUCAUUGAACACUGUGUCUCUUGAGAGAGGUGGCCAUAAGAUAUGGGACACAAUUCCCAAUUUUACAGAUUCCUCAUGUCUUUGAGAUUUGAUCAGUUUGUGAAUAUUUUAUGCUUUGAUGAUAUAGUGAGAAUGCAUCACUUGCAAGAACGAUCUCAAAAGUGUCAGCUUUAGAUAAACACUCAGUGUUAAAAACGCCUAUGAUUUCAUUUACUAGCAUUUGGGGAUCCAGAAGAAUUCCACCAGAUUGCAUGAGUUAGAUUGGGAAAUGGGAGUGGGAGAUUAACAUUGGGGGUAUCUAUUUUAAGUCAGGGGCUUUACUAGCCAAUUUAGUUCUCAUAAUAACCAUGUAGAGAAGCUGUGACGUUUUUAUUUUACAACCUUUCUGGGGCUCAGACAUAGAGUUACCUAUCCAAGGUUGAGGUUGGGUAGUGGUGGAACCAGGAUGGACAACUUAUUGGCCCUGCCUCAAAGGCCAUGCCUCUUCUCCUGCUACACAGACUCGGCUUUUCCUGAAUCUCUAUGAUGCUGGUGGGAAUUGCUUGCAUAUAGGGAGAAAAAUACCCCUGCCAUCGAGAGUUAAUAUCUAGGCUGGACACGGUGGUUCACACCUGUAAUCCCAGCACUUUAGGAGGCCAAGGAGGGCAUAUCAUUUGAGGUCAGAAGUUUGAAACCAGCCUGGCCAACAUGAUGAGACCCUGUUUCUCCUAAAAAUACAAAAAAUUAGUCAGGUGUGGUGGUGCGUGCCUCUAAUCCCAGCUACUCAGCAGGAAAAGCACUUGAACCCAGGAGAUGGAGGCUGCAGUGAGCCAGGAUUGUGCCAUUGCACUCCAGCCUGGGCAACAGAGUGAGACUAUGUCUCAAAAAAAAAAAAAAAAAAAAAAAAAAAAAAAAAGAGUUAAUGUCCAUAAAUGACAGAUUUACAAGUGUAAGCUAUAUGAUUUCUUCAAAAAAGCAAAAGCAAUAUACUUAAUUCAUUUGGAUCAAACUUACAUAGGUUUCAGGUCCUGUAAGAAACUUGCCUGUUCUAACUGUUGCUUCCAGACUACAUCUGGUGGUAAUUGUUAAUGUUUCAGCAGGGCUGAUCUCAGUCCUUUAAAGUGGAAAGCUUUAUUGUGAGCCCAACCUUAUAAGAUGAAGAAAUCCCAUACAGUCUUAUUCACCAAUAUAUCCAAAACACCCACAGCAAUGGUACCUUUUUAAGAUCAGGAUUUUAUUAUGAAUUCCUGUCACUUUCUGUUUUCUAUUUAAAUUUCUAUUUUACAGAUUUUUCAGGGAAUCAUAUUCUUCACUGAGAAAAUGUGUUACUCUUUUGGACAAUUUAUCUUAUUUCUAACAUAUAAAAUGUAUUUUUUUAUUGUCCUUAAAAGAAGCUCUAGCAUGAAAUUAAAGGAGAGGGGAAAAAAUAGAUCUAGUGCACCCAAACAUUAGGAGAAAAUGAAAAAUAUACAGCCAACCGUUUGUGAGUCAUCAAAAAGUCAAAGUCAGCCUGGUCAACAUGGCAAAAAACCCAUCUCUACAAAAAAUACAAAAAUAAGCUCGGUGUGGUGGCAUGUGCCUGUAAUCCCAGCUACUCAAGAGGCUGAGACAUGAGAAUUGCUUGAACCCGGGAGGCGGAAGUUGCAAUGAGCCGAGAUCGUGCCACUGCACUCCAGCCUGGGCAAGAGAGAGAGACCUUGUCUCAAAAAACAAAACAAAAAAAGUCAAAGUCAUAAUAAGCAAAUUAUUGGCUUCUUUCUUGUAGACUAAAAGAAAUUAAAGAGAUGAAACAAUCAAUUGCAAGGGCUGAAACUAGAUUGGAUCUUGGUUUGAAUUUAAAAAAGCAUAAAAUAUUCUUGCAAUAGUUGUAAAAUUUGAAUGUGGACUAAGUCCUAGAUUAUAUUAAAAUAUUUAAAAUUUUUUCCUCUAGACUAAAAGAAAUUAAAGAAUUGAAACAAUCAAUUGCAAGGGCUGAAACUAGAUUGGAU